rnacentral:rRNA from 1 species
CACGUAGGGAGCAAGCGUUGUCCGGAUUUAUUGGGCGUAAAGAGCUCGUAGGUGGUUCGGUAAGUCAGGUGUGAAACCUCCAGGCUCAACCUGGAGACGCCACUUGAUACUGCUGUGACUGGAGUCCGGUAGGGGAGCGUGGAAUUCCUGGUGUAGCGGUGAAAUGCGCAGAUAUCGAGAGGAACACCGGCGGCGAAGGCGGCCAACUGGACGAAUACUGACGCUGAGACUCGAAAGCGUGGGGAGCAAACAGG